rnacentral:misc_RNA from 1 species
UUACAGGGACACUGCCCUUAAUUUGGCAGCCGAUAUCUCAUUCGCACUAAUAUUCACCUGUGCGAGAAUGGUUGGUGGGCCUUACCUUGCUUACGUGACACUGAAAGCUGAUAAUCCACUUAUUAUUAAGGUAAUGGCGGUCGGAUUACAGCUGGUCAGUGCUUUCUGGUUCUACAAGAUUGUGAGAAUGGUGAAAUACAAGCUCGCCAACAAAACCAAAACCACGGCCAACAAAGCUGAAAAAUUGAAUUAGGCCUGUGCAAAAUUCAUGUGCAUCUAUAAAGUUUAAGUCGAUAGUACUUCAAUUUCCUUUGAGAUUGAGUUGCGAGAAUGAUAAGAA